UACGGAGGAGGCAAGCGUUAUCCGGAAUUAUUGGGCGUAAAGCGUCCGCAGGUGGCACUUCAAGUCUGUCGUCAAAGACUGGGGCUUAACCCUGGAAAGGCGGUGGAAACUGAAGCGCUAGAGUGCGGUAGGGGUAGAGGGAAUUCCCGGUGUAGCGGUGAAAUGCGUAGAGAUCGGAAGGAACAUCAGUGGCGAAGGCGACACUCUGGUCUGACACUGACGCUGAGGUGCGAAAGCGUGGGUAGCAAACAGG
rnacentral:rRNA from 1 species